UGGGGAAUCUUGGACAAUGGGGGAAACCCUGAUCCAGCAACGCCGUGUGAGUGAUGAAGGUCUUCGGAUUGUAAAGCUCUGUUAGCCGGGAAAAAACUCGUGAGCAUCAGAUCCUCACGAUUGAUGGUACCGGCAGAGGAAGCACCGGCUAACUCUGUGCCAGCAGCCGCGGUAAUACAGAGGGUGCGAGCGUUAUUCGAAAUUAUUGGGCGUAAAGCGCAAGUAGGUGGUGAGAUAAGUCUUGUGUGAAAUACUCGGGCUCAACCCGAGAGGGUCAUAGGAAACUGUCUCGCUAGAGUGCAAUAGGGGAGAGCGGAAUUCCCAGUGUAGUAGUGAAAUACGUAGAUAUUGGGAGGAACACCGGUGGCGAAAGCGGCUCUCUGGAUUGUUACUGACACUCAGUUGCGAAAGCGUGGGGAUCAAACAGGAUUAGAUACCCAUGUAGUCCCUGAGCGGGCUGGCAAGGCGCAU
rnacentral:rRNA from 1 species